AAAAAAAAAGGAGAGAAAGAAAAAGAGAAAACCUAGCCUGACUUCGCCUCUUGGAAAGCUUUAGGUUGCAGCCCUGCCUUCCAAGCAUUCUUUAAACUACAAAUGUGGGAGGGACUCCAGGAGAGAGAGAGAGAGAUGGCUAUCAACUGAAUUCAUUACUGUAAACAUCUCCCUGGGGUGUCAGGCAGGGAGGAAAAAAAAGGCACGACUUACAUUAGCAGGGAAUAGUCAGAUCUGAGGCAUCAUUACUGCUAAGAUCAGGCUGCAAUCCCGGCUGAAGGCGGGCGCAGGACUCGGAGGGAGCCAGACACACGGACUCACACAUCUACUCACAGAUACGUGUCUGCUGCCUUCCCCGGCUGCCGAGGGUCCUGGGUCUCCCUGCCUGCUCCUCAUGUGAUCCUCUCACCGUUUCCAGAGGACAGAAAAGAGAAAAAGAAACCCCAAGACCAGGCGCACCCGCGGUCCCUUCUCGUUUGUAUUUUUGGCCGGAGCAGGAGGAGCGGCGGGGGGAAGAGCGAGCCAACCCGGGAGAGAAAGUGCGUCGGGGAUGCCAGAGCCGCGGGCUGCGCGCCGGAGGAGGAGGUGGCGGAGAAGGGGGGAGGACGAUGCCGCUGCCUCGUAAGGGCGGAGGAAGGCGCGGGGGUCGCUCCGGAGCGGCGGCGGCGNNNNNNNNNNUGUGGGGGGCCAGAGGCGCGGAGGGGGAUUAUGAUCGGUGCCGGCGAGGGAUUCCCAGACGCCGCCAGGUUUUCAGGCAGCCACAGGAACCUUGACUGCUGUGCCUGGUACUGCAUGUUUGGAAGACUGCAGCAUGAAAGGCGGGGAGGAUGGCCCUGAGGGCAGCUUUGGAGCUUCUUGAGCACCAUAAGCAUAGCCACUGAGGCAAUACUGGUCAGUAAGGUAGGAAAGAGUUUCAUAAGCAGGCUUGUAGUGGGUUAUUGGGCUUUUUUAACUAGAUACCACACAUUUAUGAUUAAGUAGCAUUUUAGUAAUAUAUUAAUUAU
rnacentral:lncRNA from 1 species